AAUAGUGGUGAGGAUUGACAUUACCCACGGAAUAAGCACCGGCUAACUCCGUGCCAGCAGCCGCGGUAAUACGGAGGGUGCGAGCGUUAAUCGGAAUGACUGGGCGUAAAGCGUGCGUAGGCGGUAACGACAGUCAACCGUGAAAGCCCUGGGCUUAACCUGGGAAUGGCGGUUGAUACGGCGUAACUUGAGUGGGCUAGAGGGCUGUGGAAUUCCGGGUGUAGCGGUGAAAUGCGUAGAGAUCCGGAGGAACACCGAUGGCGAAGGCAGCGGUCUGGGGCCACACUGACGCUGAGGCACGAAAGCGUGGGGAGCAAACAGGAUUAGAUACCCUGGUAGUCCACGCGGUAAACGAUGAGCGCUA
rnacentral:rRNA from 1 species